UUCGCCUUCAUGAAGCCGGAAUUGCUAGUAAUGGCAGGUCAGCAUACUGCCGUGAAUACGUUCCCGGGCCUUGUACACACCGCCCGUCACACCAUGAGAGUUGGGAAUACCCGAAGCCUGUGAGCUAACUUUUAGAGGCAGCAGUCGAAGGUAGAAUCAAUGAUUGGGGUGAAGUCGUAACAAGGUACC
rnacentral:rRNA from 1 species